rnacentral:lncRNA from 1 species
GCAACCCAAGCUUGGCACUGCGGCCAUGCCAUCCACACCCUGUCUCUUUGCAUCUGUCUUUGCCAUCACUGUGUGACACCAUAGCUAUGAUGUCAUUAGUGGUGAGCUCCCACUGCAGGCUGGGGAAUGGUAAAAGUUGUCUCCAGCCUCCUCAAGGGAUCCCCAGUCAGGAUAUAGUCUGCCUGUCUGUGGACAGAUGUUUAUAUGACAUCUCCUUCCUGCAAGGGAUGUGGGAAAUGUGGGAUUUUUAGUUGAGUACAUGGCUGUGUUAUCAAAAAACAGAAAGACAAGCUCAGGACAGACAUUUCACAGCGACAGACAUUUCACAGCCUGCCUUCUCUUCCAGAGGCACACACUGGAAAAGAUAGAUCCUCCUCUAGGUUCUCACAUCUGUGUCGGUCCAUGGUCAUGUCUGUCACCAAGUGAAGCAAAUGAAAGUGUCCACAGGAAAUGGCCAACACCUUGAACCAGCUCCUGCUCCAGAACCAGUUCAUGAGGACCCAAAAGAGGACUUCAUUUCCUAUGCAGUCAGCUAAAGCUAGAGUUGGAAAGAAGGUCUGUGGGUUGCAAGAAACCCGUGCCCAAUUUUAGGUAAGUCAAUAUAGUUUUCUGUGCCCCGAUUUUCCUAAAGUAAAUGGGGAUGCCUUGAUGGAACAGAGAUCUCUUCCAGAUCUUGGGAUUUGGGAAAAUCCAGGAAGCCACCAGCACAGGAUAUUUGUGGGUGUGUGUCUCAUCUGCACCAGGACAAAAGUAGUAGGCAUUCUAGGAGUUGGGAUAGCCAGGGAAAUAAGAAGAAGAAUUCUCAGCCCUGUACAGUAGACACCUGAAAGAUCUUAAUGGAGGCAGAGGUGGGGACUUGUAGUGUUAGCUCAGGACACCAGGCCCCUAACAAAGAGCCCUUGGUGGAGGUGCUUGGUGUACCCUGAAAUGGGGCUGUCAAAGGUGGAAGGACACAACCUGGGGGCGUAUUUUUGAAGAUAGGAUGAUGGAAAAGGGCAUCCAAAAAUAAUUCUUGCCCUAGAACUCUACCAGUACCAGAACACAAAAUAGCCUCUACUCGUAUCUGGCAACAACUGCCUCAGCUCCCAAAUCCCCAAAGGUGACCUUGUCUGAAAGGGAGGGCCAGGGGACACUUAAAACAUCACCAAAAAGCUUAUGUGUAAGGGGCUGUCAGAGGACAACCUUAGGUGUCACUCCUCACCUUCCACCAUUAGAGCGGGGGUCUCACUUGUCAUUCACAUUGCCAGCUAGUUCAUGAACUCUCAGAGACUCAUCUAUUUCCAUCUCUCCAUGGGGACACAGGGAUCUCU